GCGCCGGUGGUGUAAAUGCGUAGAGCAUUCCCGCCCGGUCAGAGGGAGGUGCGGGUUCGAGUCCCGCCUGGCGCU
rnacentral:tRNA from 1 species